CUGGGUGCUCCUGGUGGUCCUGCACGAUCGGCUGUGCAGUAGGCUUGUCAAGGAGAGGAUCCUCCCUGGCCUCUCCUUGGGCAGAGGAGGUGGUCCAUAAAGCUGCUCUGGAGCCAAAAUAUUGCAGUCACAUCUCGGCAGCGACCUGCCCUCAGGUGGCAUUUUCAAGUCAUGGAGAAGGCGGAGAGAGAAGCAAUCAGCAGCCACCCACUGCAGCUGGAGACCCCAGAACUUGGUGUCUGCCUCCCAUGGCACUGGGAAGGCUGGAGGCAGCUCACCAAGGAAAAGACAAACUCCUAAAAGCUUCCAGGGAGAAAGUCAUGCAUAAACAAGUGAAACUCAGGAUGGCAUGAGGCUUCGCCACCACGACUGGUUAGAAGACAACAGCACAGACUUUGAAAUUCUAAGGUGUUUUUCACAGGGCCAGUGGAUUUCACAAUGUGAGUGCUGUCCAGCACCAAAGGGAAUGGCCAACAGGCAUGGAGCAGCCUACAGCGUCCAGCACCCAGUAGGAUGGCCAGGAGGCACGGAGCAGCCUGCCUGUCCCAGGAAAGCAGGAGUCACAGGACACAACUGGACCCAGAGACCUGGCCUUCAGACGCCACCACUCACUGCCGCUCUGUCCAGGCGAGCAUCAACUUGCACUGUUUCAGAAGCAAAAGGAAAAUGAACCGCAGCCACUGAAGUCCCUCAGAACUGAGGAAAAGUUAUUGACUUUCCUGAUUUGUGUUCAAUCUGGCUGGCCAUGGGUACAGACACAGCUGGUUUCCCCAUUUGUGAGCUGGACGGAUUUAAUUCCUGGCUGUUUGAAUGAUGUAUCCCCUCAUCAGUGAAACCAACAGAGUAGCUCAACUUAAUUUUCUCUUUCUAUGGCAUGCCAUUUAUACCCAUUCAAUUAUGCCUGUGUCAAUUAAGUCAAACAUUCUUACUGUCUCUAUUUCUAAUAAAAAGUGGUAAACACUCGAAAACCCCUUUCAUAAAUAGGCAUGUAUAAAAGCAAUGUUCUUAAUAAAAAUGUUGGACUUAAUAAAAGUAUUUUAAAAAACAGUAGGAACCAUAGUAUAAUAAAGGCCUUGGCCGGGCGUGGUGGCUCACACCUGUAAUCCUAGCACGUUGGGA
rnacentral:lncRNA from 1 species